rnacentral:rRNA from 1 species
UACGUAGGAGACGAGCGUUGUCCGGAAUUACUGGGCGUAAAGCGCGUGUAGGCGGAUGGGCAAGUCUGCUGUGAAAGCUCCUGGCUUAACCGGGAGUGGUCGGUGGAAACUGCCAAUCUGGAGGACGGUAGAGGUAGGUAGAAUUCCCGGUGUAGUGGUGAAAUGCGUAGAGAUCGGGAGGAAUACCUGUGGCGAAGGCGGGUCUCUGGGCCGAUACUGACGCUGAGGAGCGAAAGCGUGGGGAGCGAACAGG